GCGCAGCUGGGCACUAAGAUGGUGGAAGCGUGAGUUGCAUGUUGUGUGAGGAUCCCAGGGCCAGGAUCCGCCUCUCGGCCCCACCAUGGCCGUCACUAUCACGCUCAAAACACUGCAGCAGCAGACCUUCAAGAUUCGAAUGGAGCCUGACAAGACGGUGAAGGUACUAAAGGAGAAGAUUGAAGCAGAGAAGGGCCGAGAUGCCUUUCCCGUGGCUGGACAGAAGCUCAUUUAUACUGGCAAGAUCCUGAGUGAUGACGUUCCUAUCAGGAAUUAUCGAAUAGAUGAGAAGAACUUUGUGGUUGUCAUGGUGACCAAGGCCAAAGCUGGCUCGGGUACCUCAGCCCCCCCCCCCAAGAGACCUCACCUACUGCUGCCCCGCAGUCUUCUACAUCCUUCCCACCAGCCCCUCCUGCCUCAAGCAUGUCGCAUCCUCCACCUGCUGACAGAGAAGACAAGAACCCGUCCGAAGAAUCAGUCCCCACGAUGUCCCCAGAGUCUUUGUCAGGCUCUGUUCCCUCUUCAGGUAGCAGCGACAGAGAGGAAGAUGCGGCCUCCACACUAGUGACUGGCUCUGAGUAUGAAACGAUGCUGACAGAGAUCAUGUCUAUGGGCUACGAGCGGGAGCGGGUUGUGGCUGCCCUGCGAGCUAGCUACAACAACCCUCACCGCGCUGUGGAGUAUCUUCUCACGGGAAUUCCUGGGAGUCCUGAGCCAGAGCAAGGCUCAGUCCAGGAGAGCCAGGUAUCUGAGCAGCUGGCCACAGAAUCAGGAGAGAACCCUUUGGAGUGUUUGCGGGGCCAGCCCCAGUUCCAGAACAUGCGGCAAAGUGAUUCAGCAGAACCCAGCUUUGCUGCCUGCUCUGCUCCAGCAGCUGGGACAGGAGAACCCCCAGCUCUUACAGCAUUUAGCCGGCACCAGGAGCAGUUCAUCCAGAUGUUGAAU